rnacentral:misc_RNA from 1 species
UAAUCAAGUGUUUUAUGGCACUUUUUAAAUCCAUAUCCACCUUGUGUGCAAUGUCAGUCGAUCUUCUUCAUGGAGAUCGACCAAACAUCAACCUUUAUCUUUUAACUCUUUGUCUGAAAAAUAUUAUGAAUAAACAAUUCAAAAUA